rnacentral:rRNA from 1 species
UACGUAGGUGGCAAGCGUUAUCCGGAAUUAUUGGGCGUAAAGCGCGCGUAGGUGGUUUCUUAAGUCUGAUGUGAAAGCCCACGGCUCAACCGUGGAGGGUCAUUGGAAACUGGGAGACUUGAGUGCAGAAGAGGAAAGUGGAAUUCCAUGUGUAGCGGUGAAAUGCGUAGAGAUAUGGAGGAACACCAGUGGCGAAGGCGACUUUCUGGUCUGUAACUGACACUGAGGCGCGAAAGCGUGGGUAGCAAACAGG